rnacentral:rRNA from 1 species
UACGUAGGGGGCGAGCGUUGUCCGGAUUUAUUGGGCGUAAAGAGCUCGUAGGCGGCUUGUUGCGUCAGCUGUGAAAACCCGCAGCUCAACUGUGGGCUUGCAGCUGAUACGGGCAGGCUUGAGUUCGGUAGGGGAGACUGGAAUUCCGGUGUAGCGGUGAAAUGCGCAGAUAUCAGGAGGAACACCGGUGGCGAAGGCGGGUCCACUGGGCCGGAACUGACGCUGGAGGAGCGAAAGCGUGGGGAGCAAACAG